rnacentral:rRNA from 1 species
UGCAGUCGAACGAUGAUCCCCAGCUUGCUGGGGGGAUUAGUGGCGAACGGGUGAGUAACACGUGAGUAACCUGCCCUUGACUCUGGGAUAAGCGUUGGAAACGACGUCUAAUACCGGAUAUGACUCCUGGCCGCAUGGUCUGGGGGUGGAAAGAUUUUUUGGUCAAGGAUGGACUCGCGGCCUAUCAGGUAGUUGGUGAGGUAAUGGCUCACCAAGCCGACGACGGGUAGCCGGCCUGAGAGGGUGACCGGCCACACUGGGACUGAGACACGGCCCAGACUCCUACGGGAGGCAGCAGUGGGGAAUAUUGCACAAUGGGCGAAAGCCUGAUGCAGCAACGCCGCGUGAGGGACGACGGCCUUCGGGUUGUAAACCUCUUUUAGUAGGGAAGAAGGGAGCUUGCUCUUGACGGUACCUGCAGAAAAAGCACCGGCUAACUACGUGCCAGCAGCCGCGGUAAUACGUAGGGUGCAAGCGUUGUCCGGAAUUAUUGGGCGUAAAGAGCUCGUAGGCGGUUUGUCGCGUCUGCUGUGAAAUCUGGGGGCUCAACCCCCAGCCUGCAGUGGGUACGGGCAGACUAGAGUGCGGUAGGGGAGAUUGGAAUUCCUGGUGUAGCGGUGGAAUGCGCAGAUAUCAGGAGGAACACCGAUGGCGAAGGCAGAUCUCUGGGCCGUAACUGACGCUGAGGAGCGAAAGCAUGGGGAGCGAACAGGAUUAGAUACCCUGGUAGUCCAUGCCGUAAACGUUGGGAACUAGAUGUAGGGGCCAUUCCACGGUUUCUGUGUCGCAGCUAACGCAUUAAGUUCCCCGCCUGGGGAGUACGGCCGCAAGGCUAAAACUCAAAGGAAUUGACGGGGGCCCGCACAAGCGGCGGAGCAUGCGGAUUAAUUCGAUGCAACGCGAAGAACCUUACCAAGGCUUGACAUAUACCGGAAACGUCCAGAGAUGGUCGCCCCGCAAGGUCGGUAUACAGGUGGUGCAUGGUUGUCGUCAGCUCGUGUCGUGAGAUGUUGGGUUAAGUCCCGCAACGAGCGCAACCCUCGUUCUAUGUUG